UAAAUGUCUCAGAGGCCCUUUGAAAUGC
rnacentral:sRNA from 1 species